UACGAAGGGUGCAAGCGUUAAUCGGAAUUACUGGGCGUACAGGGUGCGUAGGCGGUUCGUUAAGUCUGUCGUGAAAUCCCCGGGCUCAACCUGGGAAUGGCGAUGGAUACUGGCGAGCUAGAGUGUGUCAGAGGAUGGUGGAAUUCCCGGUGUAGCGGUGAAAUGCGUAGAGAUCGGGAGGAACAUCAGUGGCGAAGGCGGCCAUCUGGGACAACACUGACGCUGAAGCACGAAAGCGUGGGGAGCAAACAGG
rnacentral:rRNA from 1 species